rnacentral:hammerhead_ribozyme from 1 species
GUCCAGCUGUUGAGUCUCAAAUAGGUCGAAACACGCGUUCUGGAU